GGUUCUCUCACUUUCUCUCUCUAUCGUUGUAUCAUUGGCGUCUCAUCCAUUUAGCGAUUUUGCCCUUCUUUCUCCUCUUCUAUUGAUCCAGUUCAUCACUGUAACCAUGAGUGACCAAGGAGAAAAGACCUGUCCUCUCUGUGCCGAGGAGAUGGAUAUGACAGAUCAGCAGUUGAGGCCUUGCAAGUGUGGCUAUCAGGUCUGUUAAUCUUCAAGUUCUAGAAUAAUAUUUGACUAUGUUUUGCUUGAGUAAGUUGAAACCAUUUUGUUUUUGUGAAACUGGGUCAUUAGAAGACUAGUCAUUGUUAUUGGCAUGUUGUUUCCAUCAAGAUGUACUUAUUAGGGGUGGAGUGGAGUUG
rnacentral:misc_RNA from 1 species